GGCCGCCCAUAGUCAAUAGGAAUUUAUUGCGAAGGGUAGUGGAGCGGAAUCGUGGCUAUCGCCGUAGCUCGCCACGUGGAAUCAGUUGCGAGGAGUGGAGCGGCAUCUACUGUCGUGACUCAUCUGGGGGUGGUGGAAUUAUACAGGAUCCACCGCAGGGAGUGGAGCAGAAUCAUGGCUGUUAAUAUAGCCUAUCAGGGAGUGAUGAGGUCGCGUAGGGUCCGUCGCAGGAAGUGGAGCAGAGUCAUGGCCAUUAUUGUGGCCCGCCAGUGGGUCCAGAAUUGUCGGUCGGAGCUUGGUUGGGGUUGGUAGCGAGGUUCGGCACCCGUAGAAGUUCGGAUGAAGUC
rnacentral:lncRNA from 1 species